AAGUGCAGCACCGGUUCUGACCUGCACCAUCAUCGCCGGGGUGAGCGCGGCAGCCGCCGGCCUCCUCCUCCUCCUUCUGGCCUUCGUCUGCUACAGAAGAACCCGAGGAAGGAAAGGACCAGCCCCGAGACAGAGCAGGGAGUCCGAGGCUGCAGCCACUGUCU